GAUGAAGAACGCAGCGAAAUGCGAUAAGUAAUGUGAAUUGCAGAAUUCAGUGAAUCAUCGAAUCUUUGAACGCACAUUGCGCCCCUUGGUAUUCCAUGGGGCAUGCCUGUUCGAGCGUCAUUUGUACCUUCAAGCUUUGCUUGGUGUUGGGUGUUUGUCCUGAGGGACUCGCCUUAAAGUAAUUGGCAGCCAGUGUUUGGUUUUGAAGCGCAGCACAAGUCGCGAUUCAAAGCUAUACGCCCGCUUCCACAAGCCUUUUUCACUUUUGACCUCGGAUCAGGUAGGGAUACCCGCUGAACUUAAGCAUAUCAAUAAGCGGAGGA
rnacentral:misc_RNA from 1 species